CGAAGCUGACGGAGCACGCCGCGUGAGUGAUGAAGGUUUCGGAUCGUAAAACUCUGUUGUAGGGAAGAACAAGUGCAUAGUAACUGAUGGCGCCUUGACGGUACCUAACCAGAAAGCCACGGCUAACUACGUGCCAGCAGCCGCGGUAAUACGUAGGUGGCAAGCGUUGUCCGGAAUAUGGGCGUAAGCGCUCGCAUGCGGUUCUUUAAGUCUGAUGUGAAAUCUUACGGCUCAACCGUAAACGUGCAUUGGAACACUGGGGAACUUGAGUGCAGAACAGGAGAGUGGAAUUCCACGUGUAAGCGGUGAAAUGCGUAAGAUGUGGAGGAACACAGUGGCGAGGCGAUCUCUGGUCUGUACUGACGCUGAAGGAGCGAAAGCGUGGGGAGCGAACAGGAUUAGAUACCCUGGUAGUCCACG
rnacentral:rRNA from 1 species